rnacentral:tRNA from 1 species
GGGGCGGUAGCUCAGCUGGGAGAGCGCCUGCCUUGCACGCAGGAGGUCGUGGGUUCGAAUCCCAUCCGCUCCA